rnacentral:rRNA from 1 species
ACCCGCUGAACUUAAGCAUAUCAAUAAGCGGAGGAAAAGAAACCAACAGGGAUUGCCUCAGUAACGGCGAGUGAAGCGGCAACAGCUCAAAUUUGAAAUCUGGCGCAAGCCCGAGUUGUAAUUUGUAGAGGAUGCUUCUGGGCAGCGGCCGGUCUAAGUUCCUUGGAACAGGACGUCACAGAGGGUGAGAAUCCCGUAUGUGAUCGGCGCGCACCCUCCACGUAGCUCCUUCGACGAGUCGAGUUGUUUGGGAAUGCAGCUCUAAAUGGGAGGUAAAUUUCUUCUAAAGCUAAAUACCGGCCAGAGACCGAUAGCGCACAAGUAGAGUGAUCGAAAGAUGAAAAGCACUUUGGAAAGAGAGUUAAAAAGCACGUGAAAUUGUUGAAAGGGAAGCGCUUCCAACCAGACUUGUCGGCGGUGUUCCCCCGGUCUUCUGACCGGGCUACUCACCGCCAGCAGGCCAGCAUCGUCUGGGGCCGCCGGAGAAACCGUCAGGAAUGUAGCUCCCUCGGGAGUGUUAUAGCCUGGCGACAUGCGGCGCGCCCCGGGCGAGGUCCGCGCAUUGCAAGGAUGCUGGCGUAAUGGUUGGCAGCGGCCCGUCUUGAAACACGGACCAAGGAGUCUAACAUCUAUGCGAGUGUUCGGGUGUCAAACCCCUACGCGUAAUGAAAGUGAACGGAGGUGGGAGCUUCGGCGCACCAUCGACCGAUCCUGAUGUCCUCGGAUGGAUUUGAGUAAGAGCAUAGCUGUUGGGACCCGAAAGAUGGUGAACUAUGCCUGAAUAGGGUGAAGCCAGAGGAAACUCUGGUGGAGGCUCGCAGCGGUUCUGACGUGCAAAUCGAUCGUCAAAUUUGGGUAUAGGGGCGAAAGACUAAUCGAACCAUUAACCGACGACGCCGGGCGGCAGGCCCGGGCGUUACUAGGGUGGUUAAGUGGCAGCUCAAAGUGCUGUCAAGUCCCUCUGUUUGGGGCAACACUGUCAAAUUGUUUCGGGGACGUCCUUUAAAGCCUGCACUACCGGCCCCCGGCCCCCAAAGGGCCGGCGGGCACCGGGUUAAUGCCCCUGGGUAUGGUAAUAACGUGCAGGAUUGGAUAAUCCGCAGCGAAGUCCUACCGGAGGGGGGGUCUGCCCCCCCUUCCCACGGAGCGCGUUCACAGACUAGACGGCAGUGGGUCCCGCGAUCGCGGUCGCGGGGCUUAAGAUAUAGUCGGACCCCUGCCGAAAGGCAGGCCACGGGACAAAGCGACGGAUAAGAACAGCGCGGGGGGCCCCCUCCGUGUAUUCCGCCGCCCGAAUCUCGCGGGACGUUGGCCCCCGGUCACCCGGGGGCGGGCGCCGGGCUACAUGCUAGUAGCUGGUUCCUGCCGAAGUUUCCCUCAGGA